AACGAACGCUGGCGGCAGGCUUAACACAUGCAAGUCGAACGCCCCGCAAGGGAGGUGGCAGACGGGUGAGUAACGCGUGGGAACGUGCCCUUCGCUUCGGAAUAGUCCCGGGAAACCUGGGUUUAAUACCGGAUACGCCGUAUUGGGAAAGAUUUAUCGGCGAAGGAUCGGCCCGCGUUAGAUUAGCUAGUUGGCGGUGUAAUGGACCACCAAGGCUACGAUCUAUAGCUGGUCUGAGAGGANGAUCAGCCACACUGGGACUGAGACACGGCCCAGACUCCUACGGGAGGCAGCAGUGGGGAAUCUUGGACAAUGGGCGGCAAGCCUGACCCAGCCAUGCCGCGUGAGUGAAGAAGGCCUUAGGGUUGUAAAACUCUUUCGCCGGAGAAGAUAAUGACGGUAUCCGGAGAAGAA
rnacentral:rRNA from 1 species